rnacentral:lncRNA from 1 species
UGAAGAAAUUAGUUAUUUUAGAUUUAGUGUAGUUUGUUAGUAAAUUUUAGCAAUUAUCUCUUGAAGUUAUGAACAACCAAAAAGUUGUUCAUAACAAUUGGUGCUCUCAUUGAGAGUUUUUCAUUGCCAUGACUUCUCUCUACCAUAACCCGUUUCUCUACCACGAUCCUACCAUCAUCAAUGUUCGCACCUUGUUGAAACCACAAGGCUAUCAACAACCAACCUACAGCAACACUUCACCCUCACAGCCGAACCAAUUCAUUUCUCCACCAUCCAUACCUUCCAUCAACAAACCCUUGUUUCCCUCAAAUUUCACUCACCUCAACACU